GGCUUCGGUAUCCUGUGAAUAUCCGGUCGGCUCUUUGUAUUUCUCGCAGACAAGGGACAUUAUCGUCACAUGGUGUUACAUAUCCUUGUUCAGGGAAUAGAACCAGUUUGAUCGUGUACCAAAGGGAUGCGAACUGGACCACGUGAUAGAAGUAGAGCUACUAUGAAUCUGGCUGAAAGUUGAAAACAUAACCAAGAUGCAGAAUUUUUUGUUGCUUGAAGUCCGGCCAUUUGAGAAUUUCUCACUCAUAUAAAGACAUCACCAGACCUGGAAGUUAUAAAACUUUUCCCGUACUCAUACUCAAACUCAGCCAUGUUUGCUGUGAUUACAACUCUGAGCAAGCUCUGAAGCAUACUCAAAAAAUCUUGAGCAUGUACUCCAUUUGAGUACCAGAAUGAUUCUAUAAAAGUUUUAUAACCUUCACUUUUGAGUAUGAAUACGAUCUAGAGCAUGGAGUUCGAGUUUGAGUAUGUUAACGUGCUAAAAAAAAGUUUAUAACCCCCAGACCGCUCUUGGUCAUUCAAGUUCAUGAUGACUGACCAGACCGAUAUUGAAAAUAACGAAAUAUUUUUUAAAUAAAGUAUCAAAAAUCACU